GCCCUGGUGGCCUAAUGGAUAAGGCAUCGGGCUCCUAAACCGGGGAUUGUGGGUUCAAGUCCCACCGAGGGUA
rnacentral:tRNA from 1 species